AUGAUAGAGCAUAUAUACUAAAAUUGGAACAAUACAUAUACUAAAAUUGGAACAAUGAGCAGGGCCCCUGCACAAGGAUGACAUGCAAAUAUGGAAGCAUUCCAUAUUUUU
ensembl:snRNA U6 U6 spliceosomal RNA